rnacentral:rRNA from 1 species
UACGGAGGGUGCAAGCGUUGUCCGGAUUCAUUGGGUUUAAAGGGUGCGCAGGCGGGCGAUUAAGUCAGGGGUGAAAGACGGUUGCUCAACAAUCGCAGUGCCUUUGAUACUGGUUGUCUUGGGUGACCUUGAGGUAGGCGGAAUGGGUGGUGUAGCGGUGAAAUGCGUAGAUAUCGUAAGGAAGACCAGUGGCGAAGGCGGGUCUCUGGACAGUUCCUGACGCUGAGGCACGAAGGCCAGGGGAGCAAACGGG